UUCAUUGCUGAAGUCCUGAAUGGAAAGCUAGAGACCACCAAGAUGGUUACAGUCCGCUUCUCAGAGUUUGAGGCUUGUGUGGCACCAAUCACCAGUAAGGUGAAAGAGGCCCUUGGACAGCAGGAGUCAUUUAUUUUGACAGAUAGUCAGGGCAACGACAUAGUUGACUCUGAUGGAACUAGGGGAUCAGCAUACUGGAAGCAAAAUUCCAGGAAAGUAUUUGCAGUACCUGAACCACAGAUGGAACUGCUACAAGUCAAUAAAAGGAAGAGGUUGAGUCGAAGAGAAGAUACUGGCCUUCAAGAGGUUAUGGCAGACAUUGAAGAAGUUGUCGAAGCAGCCCAGGGACUAAAAUAAGUGUCGAAGAUGAUUAAGGAUUUGAGUGGAUUUGCACAUUCCACAGUGACAACAACCCUGUCUCUUUCAGAGGCUGAAGUAGCUUCCUUAAGAGUCGUUUUAGCCUGUCUUGUCUGCAAAGGUCCUGUAGACAAGCCAAUGUUCUCAACAUGCUGCAGAACCCUAAUCGGGUGUAAGGCAUGUGUUGCGGAGUGGAACAGCAGCCACAGUUACUGCCCGAAGUGUCGCGCUGUGGAUUUGGAGAACAGCGUUCAUGAAGUGGCUGGACUCUCUGAGGCGCUGGCACCACUGGAGAAGUUAUUCCUUUAGUAUGUUGCUAUGGUGGCAACAGAUGUUCAUACAGUUCUUCCGAGCCUUGUUUUUAUAGAGGAAUAAUGUCUAAUGUUAACAGUAUUAUUGUCACAUGUAAUUGUGGCACUUA